AGAGUAGACAAGGUGGUCGCCGGCUCUUUCCCUUCUUCGCGAAAGAGCGGGAGGAAAGUCCGAGCUCCACAGGACACAGUGCUCCGUAACGCGGAGUCCCGGAGACGGGAAGGAAAGUGCAACAGAAAAUAUACCGUCCCAUCUUUUCAUGGGAUAAGGGUGAAAUGGCGGGGUCAUUAUUGACUUAAUGCAAGAGCCCACCGCUCUGGUGGUGACAUCGGAGGCAUGGCAAACCCCACUGGGAGAAAGGUUAAAUAGGGAGGGAUGAAGUGGUCCGCUUCAGUAAUACCUCCGGGUGAACCGUUUGAUCUCGUUGGCAACAACGAGACUAGAUAAAUGACCACCCACGACAGGACUCGGCUUAUUGUCUACUCAAAAU
rnacentral:RNase_P_RNA from 4 species